GCACGUAGUAAACAUAAAUUCAUUGGUGGCAACAGCAGGCAUGUUUCAGCUAUAUGAUAGGAAUGAAAUUAUCCUGCAAAACAUACGCAAAUCUUGUUACAGACGAAGCACUAUGGCAGUUGAACGAUGACGAUUUGAAGGAAAUUGGCAUUUUCGAAAAAGGACCGAGAAAAAUUAUACUGGCUUUUAUAUCAAAACAUUUCCAAUCAAAUGAUGAAACGGAGCGCAAUGAACACAUUCCACAAACUUUUCAAAAUCAAAAGAUACACCAGGUUUUAUCCGAGGAACCAAAAUUUUUGAAGAUAUUACAAGGAAAAUUGGAAUACGGGUUGAUACCGGAAACAAAAUAAAUACCCGUCGUGGCAACAGAAAAAAAAUCUGGCUAUAAAAAUCAUUGAAGAGUUUCCUCAAUUGGAAAAGACUAGGAUAAGCCCGGAUUCCCCUAAAAAGUCGUUCUUCUUUUGGCGACAUAGUGGCAAAGAACACGGGUGCCACAGUGGGAUCAUCGAAACAAGAGUAGGAAACAUGCGGAAAGAUAUAUUACCGGAAAAUCCGGCGGAACGUUUGUUCCGGCGCGUGCGUCCAAAGGAGAUUAUUGUACCGGAGACAUCCAACGAGACAGCAGCACUACUUGCAGCUCUUUCUGCAACUGCUCAAAACGCCAAAUAUAUUUCGGAUAGUAUGGCCGAAUGUACAGAACUCCAUCAAUGGAUACUAAAUAAAAAAUCGAAAAACAAUACUCAAGAGAUACUCGAAGUCUUUCCUCAUUUACUCAACUAUAACGGACUAUUGAUUCAACAAGCGUAUGAGAGAAUACACACUUCGUACAACACAACUGCGGAUCUGAAAUCAUUCCUCAGUCUUGCUGUGCUGCUCGAUGAAAAUUGUUAGCUCAGCGUGGAAGAUUCUAACCUAAAAGGUUUACUGAUAUUUCAAAAAAAAACUUGGAAACCGCGGAGUUAAGCGAGUGGCUGACACGAACGAACAGCUUUCAAUGGAGGAACUGCUAGUAUGGCCUUUAAUCCGGUGGAUGAAGAGCAACGGCGACCCAGAAAACGUACAAGUCGACAUCUAUAAAAGUAACAAAACAGAUCCACAUAUUUUAUGUAUCGGCGAAAAGCUGUCUCGGGGAAAUAUGUAUUUGAUAUUCUAUUCAUACUCCAUAUCUUGUGGAAAUUCAUCGUUACAGGCGAUAGAGGUUUUUUUCAAAUCGUUUUCCGUUUUGGGAAUACCCAUACCGCUUCAAUUAAAGAAAAUUCACGAUUUCCUGUCCAUUAAAUUAUGGAAAACGUUAAGUUCGACAAACAGUGUGACAGUUCAAAGGUUAAUUUCAAAAAUUAUCGACUACGAGCAAAGCCUUGAAGAUUGACUGCAUUUCACUUUAAUAUUUAAUCAUUGAAAUAAAUUCAAUUAUCUUAUCUGCGAA